GAAUUAGUAGCUCAGUGGAAGUAGCAUGUGACUACGAAUCACAAGGUCAGGGGUUCGAAUCCCUUCUAAUUCG
rnacentral:tRNA from 1 species